AUUGAACGCUGGCGGCAUGCCUUACACAUGCAAGUCGAACGGUAACGCGGGGCAACCUGGCGACGAGUGGCGAACGGGUGAGUAAUGCAUCGGAACGUGCCUGGUAGUGGGGGAUAACUGCUCGAAAGAGCAGCUAAUACCGCAUACGACCUGAGGGUGAAAGGGGGGGAUCGCAAGACCUCUCGCUAUCAGAGCGGCCGAUGUCGGAUUAGCUAGUUGGUGGGGUAAAGGCCCACCAAGGCAACGAUCCGUAGCUGGUCUGAGAGGACGACCAGCCACACUGGGACUGAGACACGGCCCAGACUCCUACGGGAGGCAGCAGUGGGGAAUUUUGGACAAUGGACGCAAGUCUGAUCCAGCCAUGCCGCGUGCGGGAAGAAGGCCUUCGGGUUGUAAAGCACUUUAAGCGAGGAGGAGGCUACCGAGAUUAAUACUCUUGGAUAGUGGACGUUACUCGCAGAAUAAGCACCGGCUAACUCUGUGCCAGCCGCCGCAGUAAAAC
rnacentral:rRNA from 1 species